GCUCCGGUAGAAGAAGGGAGACUAUCCUUUUCUGCCAAAUAUAGCCAGGUUAAGCAUGCAUAUGCAUGGACCACGUAUUCCGGCCUUUCGAGCCGGAGACCCGGGUUCGAAUCCCGGCCGGAGCACCA
rnacentral:tRNA from 1 species